rnacentral:lncRNA from 1 species
GUUUAUAAGAAUUUAGGUUCAGAAAACCUAGACAGCACUAUUUUCAGGACAAUGUAUUCCAGUUAGGGUCACAGUCCUGGAGCAAGUGGAAAGCCUUUCUUCCUUCCUGGGAAGUCUUCACAUCAUGAAUUCCGAUGCCUAACAAAUGGAAUCCUCAGCAUUCCAGAUGCCAGAGUCCUGCUAAUGGAUAUGAAAUCGGGGUGGGAAAGGAGCUGAAGCAUUUUCCAGAAGCUGCCGCCUUCCUUCGAGGGAAACUUCUCUCUUCGUGGAGUUACUCAACCAUGGAUUGCUUCUGGACCACGCAGCCAGUAGCAGCACUACAAUACAACUUUCCAAGGAAGACAAUGAAAGUGGUCAGUCUAGUGAUGAGGUGAAGGGGGAAACAUGCUGUGAGAACACUCAGAUACAAAGACAAAGGCGUCCACCUAUUCUCUGGAACAAAAGUCGACAUCUCAGUGAUGCUAUCUUUAGCUGCAACAAGUCUAAAGAGUGUUAUGAGAUACGGUGUGUUUAUAAAUGUCAUGGGAUAAAAAUGAGAACAUUGUUUCUCAUCAUGUCCUUUACCUGUUU